AGCUUCCUGAUGCUUACCACAGGCUGUGCGAUAAGAGGAGGAAGAGGAGAAACAAUAAACCCACUCCUUAUACAACUCAGUAAAAGGUCCUUUUCAUGGUCUAUUGUGAAUGGUGAGACAUGA
ensembl:snoRNA